CCUACGGGAGACUGCAGUGAGGAAUAUUGGUCAAUGGACGAGAGUCUGAACCAGCCAAGUAGCGUGAAGGAUGACUGCCCUAUGGGUUGUAAACUUCUUUUAUAAAGGAAUAAAACGAGGCACGUGUGCCUUUUUGCAUGUACUUUAUGAAUAAGGAUCGGCUAACUCCGUGCCAGCAGCCGCGGUAAUACGGAGGAUCCGAGCGUUAUCCGGAUUUAUUGGGUUUAAAGGGAGCGUAGAUGGGUUGUUAAGUCAGUUGUGAAAGUUUGCGGCUCAACCGUAAAAUUGCAAUUGAUACUGGAAGUCGUGAGUACAGUUGAGGUAGGCGGAAUUCGUGGUGUAGCGGUGAAAUGCUAGAUAUCACGAAGAACCCCGAUUGCGAAGGCAGCUUACUAAACUGUGACUGACAUUGAUGCUCGAAAGUGUGGGUAUCAAACAGGAUUAGAUACCCGAGUAGUC
rnacentral:rRNA from 1 species